rnacentral:piRNA from 1 species
UUACAGUGUUUGUGGAUGGCAAUGGA